GACGGAGGGGGCAAGCGUUGUUCGGAAUUACUGGGCGUAAAGGGCGCGUAGGCGGCCUUCUAAGUCGAACGUGAAAUCCCCGGGCUCAACCCGGGAACUGCGUCCGAUACUGGAAGGCUUGAAUCCGGGAGAGGGAUGCGGAAUUCCAGGUGUAGCGGUGAAAUGCGUAGAUAUCUGGAGGAACACCGGUGGCGAAGGCGGCAUCCUGGACCGGCAUUGACGCUGAGGCGCGAAAGCCAGGGGAGCAAACGGG
rnacentral:rRNA from 1 species